rnacentral:rRNA from 1 species
UCGAACGAGAAGCCCUUCGGGGUGGAAAGUGGCGAACGGGUGAGUAACAUGUUGGUGACCUGCCCUUGAGAGGGGGACAACCAUUGGAAACGAUGGCUAAUACCCCAGAUGAUGCAUUUUUUAGAAAGGUGUAUCUAAAGUUCCGGCGCUCAAGGAGGGGCCAGCACCCCAUCAGCUAGUUGGUAAGGUAACGGCUUACCAAGGCGAAGACGGGUAGGGGACGUGAGAGCGUGAACCCCCACACUGGUACUGAUACACGGACCAGAUACCUACGGGUAGCAGCAGCGAGGAAUCUUGCGCAAUGGGCGAAAGCCUGACGCAGCAACACCGCGUGGAGGAUGAAGCAUUUCGGUGUGUAAACUCCUUUUAUGGGUGAAUAGAAAGGAAGGUAACCCAAGAAUAAGGUCCGGCUAACUACGUGCCAGCAGCCGCGGUAAAACGUAGGGACCAAGCGUUAUCCGGAAUUACUGGGCGUAAAGGGCACGCAGGCGGUUUGUUAAGUUGGAUGUGAAAGCUCCCGGCUCAACUGGGAGAGGUCAUUCAAAACUGGCGAACUUGAGGAUGACAGAGGAGAGUGGAAUUCCCGGUGUAGUGGUGAAAUGCGUAGAUAUCGGGAGGAACACCAGUGGCGAAAGCGGCUCUCUGGGUCAUUACUGACGCUCAUGUGCGAAAGCUAGGGGAGAGAACGGGAUUAGAAACCCCGGUAUUCCUAGCCGUAAACGAUGUCAACUAGGUGUUGGGGGUAACCAAUCCCUCAGUACUGCAGCCAACGCGAUAAGUUGACCGCCUGGGGACUACGGCCGCAAGGCUAAAACUCAAAGGAAUUGACGGGUUCCCGCACAAGCAGCGGAGCGUGUGG